AAGACAGAUAUUUACACACUUGUGUACAAAAUUAGUACUAUUAGUGUCUUCAAAAUGUCAUUUUACAGAUUUUACAGACACUUUCACCAACCGCAAUAUCAGGAAUUCCUGGUGCUGUCGAUACAAGUGAAGAAAGUGUUCCAUCAGUGCAAGCUGUUCCAUCAGACAUCAACAACAAUGACAGUGUGGAAGAAACAACAGUGUACAUUUGUGAAUCCGGGCCCAGCUAUGAAGAUAAUACAUUAGGUAAUUAUUUGGUUUUCAAAUAUAAUACAUAGAAUUUGUUGCAUACUUUUAAGUGAUAUGUCAUGUCAAUUGACAUUUUACUUUUUACAAAUAUAUAGAAAAGUCACUUAAUUUCUUAUUUAUGAAUUGGUAAUGAUUAUAAUUAUAAUGUCCAUUGCAUACUUGUGUAUUGCAAUUGAUGAUAUUGAUUAUUACAAUAUAUAGAUACAGGUUACAUACAAUUUUUCAUAUGACACAUGUUAUCAGUGUGUAAUGUUCAUAUACAUAAUUAUAUGUAUGCAACAAGUAUAUAAUUCGUUAUAUUCAAUAUUAAAUUACAUACAUUAAGAACUGAUGGAAAUUUUGAUUUUCAGGAGACCCAACUACAGAAUCAAAUGUUCCACAUAUUUCAAGCGGAAAAAAGAAUAAAAGGACAAUGGGUAUGUUAUUAAACGUAUAAUUAUGAUAAAGGAAUGACAUCAUGUUUAUUAUUAUAUUUUAUAUAUCAUUACAUGCCUUCAGAAAUUGUAAUAGAGCUUGAAUCAAGUAGUCCUUUCUAUUGUUGCUUGAAUUUCACAAUUCUUCAUUUACAAGUAUAUAGUGUAUUAGAAGAUGAAAUCAAUGGCUUACUUACCAUUGCAACAUUAACUGUAUGUCAUAUAUUAAUAUAUUUCAAUAUUCAAUAUAAAAUGUCAAUUUUUGAUGUUGCUUAUUUUAUGCUUAUUCACUCUUUUGAUAAUUCAUGCAGUCAUAAAACACUUGUAAUUCAUACUGUAUUAAGUACAUUACAAUGUUGCAAAUUACUUUUUCAAAUAAUGAAUUCUGUGAGGACAUUUUGAAAUUGAAGACAGAGAAAUUGGAAAAUGAGAAGUUGUAUCAUGAAAAAAUCAUACAAUUAGAACAAACAAAAAUUGAACUAUUGUGUGAAAUUUCGAACUCACUCAAAUCAAUUGAAAAACAUUUAAGAAACGACUCGCCCAUUUCUGUAUCACCAAUCAUAUCAUUGGAACAUUUUUAAUACAUAUUCACAUAUAAAUGAUUGCAUAGCAUACAACAGUAAGUUAUGUUAUGUAUAAUCAUAAAAUGGCAUUUAUAUACUUGUAGGAAUGAGUGUAGGUUGUGAAUUUAAAAUUUAACAGAAACAAAUUUGAAAAUUUGAAAUAUGUACCAUGAACAAUGUCUUCAAUUAAAGUUAAUAUAUUUGAAUUAUUUUGUGAUAUAUCAAAUACACUGUAAUAAAUAAAUCAACAUGUAAUAAACUGAUCAUCCCAUUAUUUAUCACCAUCUACAUCAUUAAAAAUUUACUAACCGAUGUAGAUAUAAAUGAUUGCAUAAUAUUUAAAAGAAACAUUUACAUUUCCAGUUGAAAAUAUAGUUAUAAUCAUUAACAAGCUGUAACAUCAAUGUUUACAAUGUUAAUGAAAUAUGUGUCGA
rnacentral:lncRNA from 1 species